rnacentral:rRNA from 1 species
UACGUAGGGAGCGAGCGUUGUCCGGAUUCAUUGGGCGUAAAGAGCUCGUAGGCGGCUUGGCAAGUCGGGUGUGAAAACUCCAGGCUCAACCUGGAGACGCCACCCGAUACUGCCAUGGCUAGAGUCCGGUAGGGGACCACGGAAUUCCUGGUGUAGCGGCGAAAUGCGCAGAUAUCAGGAGGAACACCGGUGGCGAAGGCGGUGGUCUGGGCCGGAACUGACGCUGAGGAGCGAAAGCGUGGGGAGCGAACAGG